UGUGGAAAAUUUGAUUAAUUCUUUAAAAUAGUCAUGGGGCUAGGUUUGGUUUGUGUCCUUUGGUUCACUGUCGCCUUCUAUCUUCUCUAUCGCCGCGGCGGCGGCAAGAGACUGAGCCUGUGCCGCCUAUUUUGCUCUUCUCUCUGUUUCAAAAUAGUGGCGAACAAUCAUUCAGCCAUGUCAAUUAGGGAUAUUCAUGGAUUGUGAAAUUGCGUCGCAUAAAUGAAUUAGUGAAAGAUGAGAUCUGGUCAUCAUGGUUUGCUCCUGUCGGAUCUGCCAGUGACUAUCCACUUCUAUCCAAAUGGGUCAUUUUUGGUGAGCUAGUUUGUAAUGGCUCAUGUGAUGGAUCCUCGGAGGAGAGGUCAACAGGAUUGCUCUAGGUGGUAACAUAUUGAAAUUGCGCAAGAAGAAAUGACAGUUUGAUAUCAUUGGUGGCGUUAUAUAUCUUAUAUUGGCCUUUUCUAUGUUCCCUCAGUAUAAUCUAGACCACAUAUUGCAGAGAGACACUUUUUCUGAUCAGCUUGGGAGAUUUCUGUACCUUCUGGGACACUCAUAUGUGUCCGCAGGAGGGAGGGGCUACUAUGGUGUUAAAUUGUUAAUAAUUGUCAUUAUUUGUGUUCCUCAAAAAGUUUCCCGAGGGAGGGAGGGAGGCAGGCUAUAAUUGCAACUCUUCAUGUUUCAGUGCACCUGUCUGCAGCGCUAAUUCUCAUGUUGUUGCUGGAACUAGGUAUUGAGACAUGUAUCCAACAUAAGCUGCUCGCCACUUCAGGUCAUGUCUUUGUUCUUCUGUUUUCAUAUGGUUUGUUCAUCUUUUUAUUGUGUGUUCACAAGCCACCCUUUUCUUUUGCUAUACAAUUUGUUGUGCAUUACCUUCACCAAGGCUAAGGUCUUGUUUGAUAUAGGUUAUUGAAAAUCAGGUUAUUUGGAGUUAAUUGAGUAAAAAACAUAUAUUAUGUUUUUUUUUGGAAAAUGACUUAUUGCCAUUUAAUAAAACCCCAAAAGGGAAAACGAGUACAUGAGUUUUGAAUUAGGACAAAACAAACAUUUGUCCUAAU